rnacentral:rRNA from 1 species
UACAGAGGUCUCAACCGUUGUCCGGAAUCAUUGGGCGUAAGGAGCUCGUAGGCGGCCGGUUGCGUCUGCUGUGAAAUCCCGGGGCUCAACCCCGGGCCUGCAGUGGAUACGGGCUGGCUAGAGGCAGGCAGGGGAGAACGGAAUUCCUGGUGUAGCGGUGAAAUGCGCAGAUAUCAGGAGGAACACCGGUGGCGAAGGCGGUUCUCUGGGCCUGUACUGACGCUGAGGAGCGAAAGCGUGGGGAGCGAACAGG